rnacentral:rRNA from 1 species
GACAGAGGUGCCAAGCGUUAGGCGGAAUCACUGGGCUUAAAGCGUGUGUAGGCGGACCUGUAAGUGCCUUGUGAAAUCCCAUGGCUCAACCAUGGAACGGCUGGGCAUACUGCGGGUCUUGAGCUGUCUAGGGGCAACCGGAACAAACGGUGGAGCGGUGAAAUGCGUAGAUAUCGUUUGGAACGCCAAAGGUGAAAACAGGUUGCUGGGGACAUGCUGACGCUGAGACACGAAAGCCAGGGGAGCGAACGGG